rnacentral:rRNA from 1 species
GAUGAACGCUGGCGGCGUGCCUAAUACAUGCAAGUCGAGCGAACAGACGAGGAGCUUGCUCCUCUGACGUUAGCGGCGGACGGGUGAGUAACACGUGGAUAACCUACCUAUAAGACUGGGAUAACUUCGGGAAACCGGAGCUAAUACCGGAUAAUAUAUUGAACCGCAUGGUUCGAUAGUGAAAGACGGUUUUGCUGUCACUUAUAGAUGGAUCCGCGCCGCAUUAGCUAGUUGGUAAGGUAACGGCUUACCAAGGCAACGAUGCGUAGCCGACCUGAGAGGGUGAUCGGCCACACGGGAACGGAGACACGGUCCAGACUCCUACGGGAGGCAGCAGUAGGGAAUCUUCCGCAAUGGGCGAAAGCCUGACGGAGCAACGCCGCGUGAGUGAUGAAGGUCUUCGGAUCGUAAAACUCUGUUAUUAGGGAAGAACAAAUGUGUAAGUAACUAUGCACGUCUUGACGGUACCUAAUCAGAAAGCCACGGCUAACUACGUG